rnacentral:rRNA from 1 species
UACGGGGGGGGCAAGCGUUGUUCGGAAUUACUGGGCGUAAAGGGCUCGUAGGCGGCCAACUAAGUCAUACGUGAAAUCCCUCGGCUUAACCGGGGAACUGCGUCUGAUACUGGAUGGCUUGAGUUCGGGAGAGGGAUGCGGAAUUCCAGGUGUAGCGGUGAAAUGCGUAGAUAUCGGGAAGAACACCCGUGGCGAAGGCGGUUCUCUGGGCCUGUACUGACGCUGAGGAGCGAAAGCGUGGGGAGCGAACAGG